UUCCACCAAAGUGAAACCCUGGGUUUGCAGGUUUUGGGUUUGAGAGAGUUGUCAACUGUUUCGACUGCGUGUUUGAUCAAAAUUGUGUUGAAACUGUCAUUCGUUUGUUUACUUUUCUAUCGCCACGUGCUACAAUUCUUAAAUGGUGCCUAAAAUUAAAAUCGUUAUAUUGAUUUUGUCAUUUUAUUUUAAAAUAAUAGAUAGUGAGGUGACGACAUAUUAUUUAAAAAAGAAGAUAAGAGAAAAUAAAAUGCUUUUGUCUAUUGCUGCCAAUUUACUGGACCCAACAAUAGUGCGUUCACAAAGUGUCUGGUGUUUGGAACAUUCCAGUACCUUUUGGGAAGUAGACUGCCAGAAGAAUGGCUCUAAGUUUUUCAAAGAGAAUUUCCGGAUGAAUAGAUCCAGCUUUGACGAAUUAUGUAGUCUCC